rnacentral:rRNA from 1 species
UACGUAGGGUGCAAGCGUUGUCCGGAAUUAUUGGGCGUAAAGAGCUCGUAGGCGGUUCGUCGCGUCGGCUGUGAAAUCCCGAGGCUCAACCUCGGGUCUGCAGUCGAUACGGGCGGACUGGAGUACUGCAGGGGAGACUGGAAUUCCUGGUGUAGCGGUGAAAUGCGCAGAUAUCAGGAGGAACACCCGUGGCGAAGGCGGUGGCCUGGACCGAUGCUGACGCUGAGGCGCGAAAGCGUGGGGAGCGAUCCGG